rnacentral:lncRNA from 1 species
CUGGCUAAGGCUCCUCCCCGACGAACCCCAUUCCUGCUUUCCCGCUCAAAUGUUGCAUUUUCUAAGACCUCCCUGGCCCGCCAUACGCCGAUCCUGAACCUACGAAAACCCAAGACUGCGGGCACGGUGGCUCAUGCCUGUAAUCCCAGCACUUUGGGAGGCCGAGGCGGGCAGAUCACGAGGUCAAGAAGUCGAGACCAGCCUUGCUAACAUGGCGAAACCCUGACUCUACUGAAAAUACAAAAAUUAGCUGGGCGUGAUGGCGUGCGCGCCUGUAGUCCCAGCUGCUCGGGAGGCUGAGGUAGGAGAAUCGCUUCAAUCCGGGAGGUGGAGGUUGCGGUAAGCAGAGAUUGCGCCACUGCACUCUAGCCUGGCGACAGAGACUCCUUCAAAAACAACAACAACAACAACAACAACAACAAAACAAAACCUCCCAAGACCCUAGUGGGCAGACACACAGCCAGCCAGACAUGGAGAGGAGCACAUUAGCAGAAGAAGACGCAAGUGGCUGGUCCUCGAGAGGACGUUGAGAGGAGCAUGCCAGCAGAAGAGCACACAACGACAGGCACCGACACACCACCGGCAGGCCAUGCACCAGCAGAAUGAUGCGGAGUUUGACGGGGCAGUCAGAGAAGAGCCUGGGCCGCCAAGGGGCCCGACUCCAGGGGAAAACCAUCUCCCUUCUGGCUCCCCCAUCUGCUGAGAGCUACUUCUACUCAAUAAAACCUUGCACUCAUUCUCCAAGCCCACGUGUAAUCCGAUUCUUCAGGUUUAAGCAUGGUCAUAGCAGAAUCAAUGUGCUCACCCCAUCAUGAAAAAAAAAAUGUGUUAAUGAAUUGAUUACUACUUUGAGUGUGCCAUAUUUUAAAGACGAAGAGAAACUAAUCAAGUUAGUUUUUAUUUGGUCAGAGGCUUGUUUGUGCCUGCUUAUCUAAAGUUAUAAAGGCCCCAAAUAUGGCUCCGUGUUGCAGAGGGACUGUCUCUUCUUAUAUCGACAGAGCCCAUAUUCACAAUGUAUCACACUUACCUCGAUGUAUUGUCUGGAGUUUCCUAGGCUGUGUCCUUUGCCUGGAAUGCUCUCUCUUGCUGGCUGGCUUCUUCCCACCAGCUGUGGCCAGGGCUGCUCCUUAUUCCUUCGUCAAAACUCCGUCUGCUGGGUGUGGUGCCUCACACCUGUAAUCCCAGCACUUUGAGAGGCCAAGGUGGGAGUAUCGUUUGAGCCCAGGAGUUCAAGACAAGCCUGGACAACAGAGCAAGACCCUGUCUCUACCAAAGAAAAGAAAAGAAAAGAAAAGAAACAGCCACUUUCUCUUCCAUGAGCCAGUUUAUGUUUUCUUCACGGCAUUUGUUACAAAUGUAAGUUAAAAGUCCUAAAUACAUAUUUGUUCAAUGAAUGUCGAAGUGCUCUGACCUUAUAUUCAAUUUUCCUAUCCAAGGCAAAAACCAUUAUGGGAAAAAUAGUAGAAAAUUGGCUACUUAAAAGUUAACCACACUUAAGAAAGUCUAGCAUGCAAGGUAGUGAUUAUCCUGGAGCAUUCAAAAGGCAUUUGGGUCUCAUUUACGAGGGGUUUUCUGCAGACCUCAGUUUCUUAAAUUUUAGUCAAUAUAUUUUUAAAGUAGGCAUAAUUUAUCACACGCUUUUGCAGCUUUACUCUUUAUAACUCUAAGAAACUGUAGAAAAUGUUUUCUUUCCCUGUCUCCUACAUGUUUGAAGAUGAAAUUGAAAAUUCAGCCAAUAAAACUGUGCUAAAAAGUUUGACACUAAGAAAAAGAAAGGCCCCUCUCCUGGUGAGUUUCACUGUGAGAUGGCUGGAAAUGUUGAUUGGUGGAUCUGUGUUUGUUCGUUAGUUUGGGGCCUGGACACUGAGAGUUAAGUCCACUUAGAGAUGUCAGGGAACCCAUACUUUUGGUUAAAAGCCAAAAGGGAAUGUGGGGAGGGAGUUACGGACUGAAAUAGGCGGUAGGGUUUUCUCCCUGUGUGUCCCCCUUUCUCUGUCCCUUGUUUGGUUUAUGCAUAGAUUUUUGUUGUGUAUCCUUCAAUCCCUUCCACAUUACCCUUCUCUCUUUCACCCUUAAACUGAGAUUUAGAACUAAAAUGAGAGUUUACGAAGGUACUGGCUAUAAUUAUUUUAUUUACUAUUUAUUAAUUUUUUUGAGACAGGAUUUCUCUCUGUUGCCCAGGCUGGAGUACAGUGGUGCAAUCAUGGCUCACUGCAACUUUGAGCUCCCAGGCUCAUGCAAUUCUGCCACCUGUGCCUCCUGAGUAGCUGGGACGACAGGCACAUGCCACCAUGCCCAGCUAAUCUUUUUACUUUUUGUAGAAAUAGGGUCUCACUAUGUUGCCUAGGCCGGCCUUGGACUCCUGGGCUCAAGCAAUUCUCAUGCCUCAACCUCCCAAAGUGCUAGGAUUACAGGUGUGAACCACCGCGCCUGGCCUAUAAUUAUGAAAAAAAACCCCACUAUUUUCUGAUAUGAUUUUUAAUUUAUUCCUCUAAUAUAAUAUUCUAUUACUCAGGUUUACUUUAGACAAAAACUACCUCCUUUGCUUACUAUUUUUAAAUGGUUAUUGAAGGAGUCAAUAGCCUGCAAAUAUGUGCAUUUCUUUGACCCAGAAACUUUGCUUCUAGGAAUUUGUAUUAAGGAAAUAAUUCAACCAGUAGGUAAAGAACUUGUAUAAGCCUGUUUAUUCUAGACCUGUUCCAUCUUAUUGAAAAAUUCAUACACAACCUAAAUGUCCAACAAUAAUGUUGAUUAAAUAAAUGUAAGUAUAUCCAUACAAUUAAAUGUUAUACAGCUAUUAAAAUUAAUGAUGUCAGCAGGGCACAGUGGCUCACGCCUGUAAUCCUAGCACUGCCGAGGCGGGCAGAUCAGUUGAGGUCAGGAGUUUGAGACCAGCCUGGCCAACAUGAUGAUGUUGGCUGGGCGCAGUGGCUCACGCCUGUAAUUCCAGCACUGCUGAGGCGGGCAGAUCACUUGAGGUCAGGAGUUUGAGACCAGCCUGGCCAACAUGGCGAAACCCCGUCUCUACUAAAAAUACAAAAAUUAGCCAGGCAUGAUAGCACAUGCUCGUAAUCCCAGCUACUCAGGAGGCUGAGGCAAGAGAAUUGCUUGAACCCGGGGGGCAGAGGUUGCAAUGAGCCAAGAUCACGCCACUGCACUCCAGCCUGGGUG